rnacentral:rRNA from 1 species
UCCAGACUCCUACGGGAGGCAGCAGUCGGGAAUAUUGCGCAAUGGAGGAAACUCUGACGCAGUGACGCCGCGUAUAGGAAGAAGGUUUUCGGAUUGUAAACUAUUGUCGUUAGGGAAGAUAAAAGACUGUACCUAAGGAGGAAGCCCCGGCUAACUAUGUGCCAGCAGCCGCGGUAAUACAUAGGGGGCAAGCGUUAUCCGGAAUUAUUGGGUGUAAAGGGUGCGUAGACGGAGAAACAAGUUGGUUGUGAAAUCCCUCGGCUCAACCGAGGAACUGCAACCAAAACUAUUUCCCUUGAGUGUCGGAGAGGAAAGUGGAAUUCCUAGUGUAGCGGUGAAAUGCGUAGAUAUUAGGAGGAACACCGGCGGCGAAGGCGGCCUGCUGGACCGCGACUGACGUUGAGGCUCGAAAGCGUGGGGAGCGAACAGGAUUAGAUACCCGUGUA